rnacentral:tRNA from 1 species
GGCCCGGUGGGAGAGAGGCUAUCCAGAGGAUUGCAAAUCCUUUCACACCAGUUCGAAUCUGGUCCGGGCCUCCA